rnacentral:lncRNA from 1 species
AUGAACCAAUUUUUCUUAAGGAAAUACCCAAGCUUCCUUUUAUGCAGUUCUCAUUUCCUAAUCAUUCAUUGUCUUCCAGGAAUAACAGGAGUUAUGGAAAAUGCAAGUGACACCACAGGAAUAAAUUUCAUUCUUCUAGGACUUUUUGACUACACACAGACCCAUCGGUUCCUCUUUGCCGUGGUGCUCAUGGCCUUCCUCACCUCCCUGAUGGGCAACACCUUCAUGAUCAUGUUCAUUGGGGUGGAUCCCCAGCUGCACACUCCCAUGUACUUCCUGCUUAGCCAGCUCUCCCUCAUGGACAUGAUGCUCGUUCUCACUAUUGUCCCUAAAAUGGCAGCCAACUACCUGAUGCGCAACAAAUCUAUCUCUCCUGCUGGCUGUGGUACUCAGAUCUUCCUGCUUCUCACUCUAGGAGGGGGCGAGUGUUUCCUCUUAACCGCCAUGUCCUAUGACCGCUAUGUGGCUGUAUGUCACCCCUUGAGAUACCCGAUCCUCAUGAAUCAGAAACUCUGCUUGCGCAUGACAGCCGGCUCCUGGCUUUUGGGAGGGGUGGAUGGGCUGAUGCAGGCUGGUGCCACUCUGAGCUUCCCUUACUGCCACUCUCGGGAAGUCAAUCACUUCUUUUGCGAGGCACCAUCGCUUGUUCACCUUGCCUGUGCUGACACAGCGAUUUUUGAGUUUUUCAUGUACGUCUGUUGCAUCCUGAUGCUCUUGAUUCCACUGUCUCUCAUUCUGGCUUCCUACAGUCUCAUCUUGGCUGCUGUGCUCAAUAUGCAGUCCACUGCAGCCAGGAAGAAAGCCUUUGUGACCUGUUCCUCCCAUCUAGCUGUUGUGGGGCUCUUCUAUGGCACUAUCAUGUUUAUCUACAUGCGGCCAAAAUCCUACCAUUCAGGGACACAUGACAAGGUAGUUUCUGCUUUCUACACCAUCUUCACCCCUGUGUUGAACCCCCUUAUAUACAGUGUGAGGAAUAAAGAUGUCAAGGGGGCUUUGAGAAAGUGGCUAGUAAAGCACUUUAAUGGUCUCAAUAGUGAUCAUUAUUCUCCAAAAUGGCAUUAUUAG